UACAGAGGUCCCGAGCGUUGUUCGGAUUCAUUGGGCGUAAAGGGUGCGUAGGUGGCGGGGCAAGUCAGGUGUGAAAUCCCGGAGCUCAACUCCGGAACUGCACUUGAUACUGCUUUGCUAGAGUACUGGAGAGGAGAUUGGAAUUUACGGUGUAGCAGUGAAAUGCGUAGAUAUCGUAAGGAAGACCAGUGGCGAAGGCGAAUCUCUGGACAGUUACUGACACUGAGGCACGAAGGCCAGGGGAGCAAACGGG
rnacentral:rRNA from 1 species